CGUUCGCGGGCUCUGUCUGUGGGGGGCGAGGCCGGAAGGGGGACCCCGGGGCGCGGAUUCGGCCGGGCGGGGGCUCAAAAACGGGGCGGGGGGCCGUGGCGACGCGGGCGCGGGUCCCCCUCCCCCGGCCUGCCCGCUCAGUGUCUCUCUCUCGCUCUCGCUCUCCCCCUCUCUCUCUCUUUCUCUCUUUUUCCGCGAGGCCUACACGACGCCAGGGGUUUGGGUGCUGGAGAAUCUGGUAAAAGCACCAUUGUGAAGCAGAUGAGGAUCCUGCAUGUUAAUGGGUUUAAUGGAGAGGGCGGCGAAGAGGACCCGCAGGCUGCAAGGAGCAACAGCGAUGGUGAGAAGGCAACCAAAGUGCAGGACAUCAAAAACAACCUGAAAGAGGCGAUUGAAACCAUUGUGGCCGCCAUGAGCAACCUGGUGCCCCCCGUGGAGCUGGCCAACCCCGAGAACCAGUUCAGAGUGGACUACAUUCUGAGUGUGAUGAACGUGCCUGACUUUGACUUCCCUCCCGAAUUCUAUGAGCAUGCCAAGGCUCUGUGGGAGGAUGAAGGAGUGCGUGCCUGCUAUGAACGCUCCAACGAGUACCAGCUGAUUGACUGUGCCCAGUACUUCCUGGACAAGAUCGACGUGAUCAAGCAGGCUGACUACGUGCCGAGCGAUCAGGACCUGCUUCGCUGCCGUGUCCUGACUUCUGGAAUCUUUGAGACCAAGUUCCAGGUGGACAAAGUCAACUUCCACAUGUUUGACGUGGGUGGCCAGCGCGAUGAACGCCGCAAGUGGAUCCAGUGCUUCAACGAUGUGACUGCCAUCAUCUUCGUGGUGGCCAGCAGCAGCUACAACAUGGUCAUCCGGGAGGACAACCAGACCAACCGCCUGCAGGAGGCUCUGAACCUCUUCAAGAGCAUCUGGAACAACAGAUGGCUGCGCACCAUCUCUGUGAU
rnacentral:sRNA from 1 species